UACUAGAGUAGCACUCGCAUAUCAAUAAGCGGAGGAAAAGAAACUAACAAGGAUUCCCCUAGUAACGGCGAGUGAAGCGGGAAGAGCUCAAAUUUGAAAUCUUAAAGGGUUUCCCUUUACGAAUUGUAGUUUAAAGAAGCGUUUUCUGUUGAGGUUUUGGUAAAAGUUCUUUGGAAUAGGACAUCAUAGAGGGUGAGAAUCCCGUAUUUGACCUUUACUUUCAACUUUGUGAUACACUUUCAAAGAGUCGGAUUGUUUGGGAAUGCAGUCCAAAAUGGGUGGUAAAUUUCAUCUAAAGCUAAAUAUUGGCGAGAGACCGAUAGCGAACAAGUACCGUGAGGGAAAGAUGAAAAGAACUUUGAAAAGAGAGUUAAACAGUACGUGAAAUUGUCAAAAGGGAAGCGUUUGACACCAGUGUUGUUUUUCUGAAAAUCAAUUAAAGAACUGUUUAUGCUAAGUUGUUUAGACUUUAUCAGCUAUCUGCUUUAGUUUUGAGCUUUUCUUUAAUGCACUUUUCAGUUAACAAGUCAACAUCAAUUUCUUUUGCUGUAAAAAAGCUUGAGGAAGGUGGCUUGAGAUUCGUCUUAAGUGUUUAUAGCCUCUUGCCUAUGCAGUCGGAGAGAUUGAGGUCUGCAGCGUAGAUCCUUCGGGGCUAAAUGCAUUUGUGCUAAGUUAUAACAUUUUAUAGACAACUUGUUGACUAUGAUUUGUCUUGUAGCUUACUCGCUUAUGUUAUUUUACCUACGCUUAGGAUGUUGAGUAGCGACAUACGCAC
rnacentral:rRNA from 1 species